ACUCUGGGCGCAGGCUUAGCAAAUAGCCUGUUGCCUCGUUCCUGUAGAAGCCCACUCCAUAGUCACAGUAGGCACUGACAAUCCAACAGGACAUUCCUUCUCCCGGGACCUGAGCUGGGGGUCAUCAUCCUUCUCAUCACAACCAAACACUUCAGGAGUGAAAUAUGAAGCCUGGUCUCCAGCUGAGAAUGAGGAUGGAGUAGGAGAAGCUGGUGGUUUUUUGAGGGACAAGAAGGUGACAUAUGGUGGUCAUUCGGACACUACAGUCUUCUGUUUCACCUUUAUAUUACUGUCUGCUUUCUCCAACAGCCAGACUUUCUGCGC
rnacentral:lncRNA from 13 species